UACAUGGGGUGCAAACGUUGCUCGGAAUUAUUGGGCGUAAAGCGCACGUAGGCGGUUACUCAAGUCGGAUGUGAAAGCCCUCGGCUUAACUGAGGAAGUGCACCCGAAACUGAGUAGCUAGAGUACUAAAGAGGGUCGCGGAAUUCCCGGUGUAGAGGUGAAAUUCGUAGAUAUCGGGAGGAACACCGGUGGCGAAGGCGGCGACCUGGGCCAACACUGACGCUCAUGCACGAAAGCGUGGGGAGCAAACAGG
rnacentral:rRNA from 1 species